UCGUGAGAUGUUGGUUAAGUCCCGCAACCGAGCCGCAACCCCUAUUGUUAGUUGCCAUCAUUCAGUUGGGCACUCUAGCGAGACUGCCGGUAAUAAACCGGAGGAAGGUGGGGAUGACGUCAAAUCAUCAUGCCCCUUAUGACCUGGGCUACACACGUGCUACAAUGGUUGGUACAACGAGUUGCGAGUCGGUGACGGCGAGCUAAUCUCUUUAAAGCCAAUCUCAGUUCGGAUUGUAGGCUGCAACUCGCCUACAUGAAGUCGGAAUCGCUAGUAAUCGCGGAUCAGCACGCCGCGGUGAAUACGUUCCCGGGCCUU
rnacentral:rRNA from 1 species